UUAUACAUCUGUCGCUAACAACUAACCCGUUCCUAUAAAGACAAUGGAACCCCGUGAUCUUAUAUCUACCAAUUUCAGAUAAAUCCCCCCUUGACGGUGACGCCGUGUAAUAACAUAUCUGGCUUGGAUUUUUUUUUUGAAGGUCCCGGCUUUAUGGCUUUUGAACACCGGAAUGUAUUUUUGACGAGUUUUGGCUGGGGCAGUAAAGAGGCAAAACCAAACCUUUUUAAUCUCUGUUCGGAUUCUUUACUCCCUCCAAUACAGGAGGGGCCUGAUUAUCUGAGGGAAAUACCAGCGGGGAUAACAGCGUAAUCUUCCUUGAUAGUUCUUAUAGAUGGGCGGGUUUGCGACCUCGAUGUUGGCUCUGGGUAUCCUGAGGCAUGCAGGCGGUCUCAAGGGUUGGUUCGUUCGCCCAUUAAAACCCGACGUGAUCU
rnacentral:rRNA from 1 species